GCAGCGGAGCGUGUGGUUUAAUUCGAUGCUACACGAAGAACCUUACCAGGGUUUGACAUGCAAGUGGUAGGAACCGAAAGGCGACCGACCCUUCGGGGAGCUUGCACAGGUGCUGCAUGGCUGUCGUCAGCUCGUGUCGUGAGAUGUUCGGUUAAGUCCGCUAACGAGCGCAACCCUCGCUGUGUGUUACAAGUGUCACACGGUACUGCCGGUCUUAAGCCGGAGGAAGGUGGGAUGACGUCAAGUCAGCAUGGCCUUUAUGUCCUGGGCUACACACACGCUACAAUGGCCAACACAAUAGGUUGCUAAGCCGCGAGGUGGAGCCAAUCCUCAAAGUUGGUCUCAGUUCAGAUUGCAGGCUGCAACCCGCCUGCAUGAAGAUGGAGUUGCUAGUAACCGCAGGUCAGCUAUACUGCGGUGAAUACGUUCCCGGGGCUU
rnacentral:rRNA from 1 species